UUAAUCUUUUUUUUACUUGGUCCUAUUUCUAAUUGUUAUUUUUUAGCUGUCUUUGCUGGUUUGAUCGUGAUCUUUAAUGGGUUAAAACGAAAAGUAAUUCGAAUUAUAAAAUAAAAAUUGGAAAUAGAACCAGAACGUAAAAAGAAACUUUAUGUUAACAAAUAUGUGCAAAGCACAUUGCAAAAAGCAAUUCUGCAACUAAUUUGUUUAUAACAAUUAUAACAACUAUAGCUAUUAAGAAAGCGUUAGAUAUUUUUAUUGAAACAUUUUUCACGUAAGAUCAAUUAGCGUAAAUAGUUUUCCUCUACAGUCAAUUUUUAGUAAUUCGUUUAUAACAAUUGGUUGCAAAAUUGAAUUUUGAUAAGUUUUUUUUUACGUCAAUAAUGUUUUUUCAUGCUUCGAAACUAUUUCCAAUUCAAAUUCUUUUUGCUAUUUUUGCUGGUCGGACCAUGGGCAGGAUCGGGUUUUAAUUAUUUAUACAUAUAUGCGGGCAGAUGCAGAUAGAAAUCUCGACGGAUACAAUGCGGAUAGAUACAGAUAGAAUUCCUGUACGCAAUUGCAGAUAGAUAUAGAUGAAAUGUAAUUACAAGCAAGAUGCAGAUAGAAACGGACAGGAUUGCUGUCCGUAAUCGUGGACAAAUGCAGAUAAAAAUCGCGACGAAUACAAUGCGGAUAGACUUGGAUAGGAUUCUGUUACGUAAUUGCAGAUAGAUACAAAUAGUAAUCGCACCGGAUAUAAUGCGGAUAGACACAGAUAGAAUUCCGGUACGUAAUUGCAAACAGAUGCGGACAGAAAUCGCGACAGACAUAAUGCAGAUAGAAACGGAUAGGAUUCGUAUACGUAAUUGCGGACAUGUGCAGACAGAAAUCGCGGCGUAUAGGAUGCGAACAGAAACAGACAGAACUUCUGUACGCAAUUACGAAUAAAUAUAGGUGAAACCCCAGUAAACAUUAUUGAGAGGAAGAGUUCUUUUUAAAGAUUUCAUUAAUUUUUCUUGAAAAUAUCAAUAAAUUAUCUUUGUACAAGAUGUCUUUCAAAAGACCUCUUUAAGAGAACUUUUUAAAGACCUCGAUCAUUAAUUUUUCUUCAAAAUGACAUCAAUAAAUUAUCUUUUUUCAAGAUGUCUUUCAAAAGAGCUCUUUAUGAUGUCUAUCUACAGAUGUCUCUAGAGUCUCAGAGGAAAGAGCUCUUUAAGAGAACUUUUUAAAGAUCUAAUUAAGUUUUCUUAAAAAUAAUGUAUCUUUUCGCAAGAUAUUUCUCACAAAACAUAACCUAGUUUAAUCACAUGUGGCGAAUAUUAUAAGAGCAUAAAAAAAAUUACAGAUAAUACGAGGGUCAUUCAAUAAGUAACGAGACAAUUACUACUGCUCAAAAACGGCUAAAUUGAUCCAUAUGAAACUUUCAGGACAUAAAGUUGGCAACCUUGCAAUGACAUCUGAUCAGCUGUUCAAUCAUAUUUUAUAAACAUAACCUCAAAUUUACUCAGUUGACGAUGGCGAGUCCGCUCGAGAAUUGCACCGUGGAAAAACAACAAUGCCGUGAUCAGAUUUUUAGUCGCGGAAGAUGAGAAAGGUAGAACAGUUUCAAAGUGGCCGUACAAAAGUUUCUGACGAGCAACGCAGUGGACGACCGAUCAAAGUUGGGACUUCCUCUCUCAAAUCUCGGAUUGACGCGUUAAUUCAAGACAAUAGGCGUAUCACUGUUGAACUGAUAAGUGAAAAAGUAAACGCGAGUGUUGGAACUGUCCAUAACAAGACCUGCAAUUCGAACGAAACGCCGUGGGCUCUUGACUGAAGGCGUGAUUUUGCUUCAUGACAACGUCCGUCCACAUACGGCACAGCUGACGAAAGAAAAACUUCAGAAACUGGGGUGGGAGAUCCUUCCACAUCCCCUACAGCCCCGACCUCGCCCUAUCAGACUUCCAUCUGUUUAGACCCCUUAAAAAUGGCCUACAAGGGAUACAUUUUUGAUGCAAUGAAGAGGUAAAAAAUCAAAUGCAAAAGUGGCUUCAAGAUCAACCUAAAGAAUUUUAUGCCAAGGGCAUUUACAAAUUAGCAGAAAGAUGGGACAAGUGUAUAAGUGUUGCUGGAGACUAUAUUGAAAAGUAACCAAAGUUUUGUACUGAUUCAAUAAACCGUUUUUGAGCAAUAAUAA